rnacentral:lncRNA from 1 species
CUUUCGGAACAAUAUCAAAAAUAAAGACCAAAGAACAAUUUUGGGCCCGUUACGUCUUGUAACCGUUUGUUAGCUUAAGCAAUCAUAUAUCCUUAAGCAGACGGUGAUGGUGAGUCGAUCAAAGCAAGGCAAUUAUUCCAUGUUUGAAUGCACUUCGCUAUAAUUGUCGCUGGGCUUAGGUCUUUGAAUAGAGGAUUUUCGAGAGUCCUCUUUACUAAUACUGAGUGCAAACUUUUCCCAACCCAACAAGUUCGCCGCAACACUUGUUAGAAAUACUCCCUGUCUCGAAAAUACUCGUGAAAGCUUCUAGAACACAGGGCAAACCCAUUUUAGUUUCACAUUUAUUUUCCUUAAUAAUCUGGUCGUUCUCCUUCGUAGCCAUUGCUGCCCCGCCAGUUAAGAAUAAAACCAGUAGUGCGGAAUAAACAUUAAGGCUUGCCAUACCGUUCGAAUCUGAUGCUACUAGUUAAAUUUGGUUCGUAAAAU